AUCCUAACCGUGCAAAGGUAGCAUAAUCACUUGUCCCCUAAAUAGGGACUAGAAUGAACGGCCAUAUGAGGACUAAUCUGUCUCUUUCAUUCUACCAAUGAAACUGAUCCUCCAGUCCAAAAGCUGGAAUACCCACAUAAGACGAGAAGACCCUGUGGAGCUUAUUAAACCAACCUCACCGCCAUGAAGUGUUAGUUUUUAGUUGGGGCGACUUCGGAGCACAAAAAACCCUCCGAUACAACCUUCCACACAGAUUCACACAUCGAAACUCCCUCGACCCAGUAAUUUUUCCCAUUACCUGAUCAACGAACCAAGUUACCCCAGGGAUAACAGCGCCAUCCUCUUCAAGAGUCCCCAUCGACAAGAGGGUUUACGACCUCGAUGUUGGAUCAGGACACCCAAAUAGUGCACCCGCUACUAAUGGUUCGUUUGUUCAACGAUUAA
rnacentral:rRNA from 1 species